UUUUCUUCAUGGCUAGACUGUUCCUCACGCCAGGUGUACCAAAAGGUGUCACCCAGGAUAUGCCAAGGUGGUUCAAGAAGACAAGCCGGUUUGCUGCUAUGCUUGUGUUCCGUGUGCGGAAGGGACCAUAUCUACACAGGAAGGUGGGUGACGCCACAGGAAAUGGAAUUUGUUGGGAGAAUAUGAAUAGGGCAACAUAUUGGCCAGAAACCUUCUGUGAAGAUUCUAAAGACGUAUUUGGAUGCAGAUCCUUUAUUGAUUUCUUCAUUUUUAAUCCCCUUCCUGGAAUUUAUUUGAAAGAAAUGACACGCAGGAAGCAAUCUCUGGGAUGCAAAUUGGGUUCAGCCUGCCCUGCCCAUAUGGCACAGCUUUGGCUAUUUUGUACCAAGCCUUCUAGGACCAGAGAACCAGAACCACCGUCACAAAAAGAAAUUAAAAAUGUCAUCAAAAUAAACGAGAAAUACUGAAAAUAGCAAAUAUUUAUUUAAAAGAGAGAAAGCAUGAUGCACAAUAAUCAAAAAAAUUAGGUGAACAUUCCAUUCCAUUGCAUUGUAGAACAAUUAAAGAUUAUGAGAUUUCAGCAGGAAGUUAUUGGAUAUCCCAGACAAGGAGUUUGAGAACAGCUGUAGCAGCUUGGAAGAGAGGAGUUCAAGGAUAUUAAAAAUAAAUAAAUCAUAAGUUGUGUGUCCUAGUUUUUCAGUUUGAUCCUUUUGCAUGUUUUGUGGUAUUUUAUUCAUUGUGACUUGCUGUUUUUUAUUAAUUAUAAAUUAGGAAUUCUUUAUUGUACAUGAUAAGCAUUAGCUGUUUCUUAUUUGCUGAUAUUAAAUUUUACUUUUUACUAUUUCUGAGUGUUAUGAUGGAAUAUUAUUGAAUUUUGCAUUAUAUGAUAUGUUGUUUAUUUUAAAGUUAUGCUUUUAUGAUGACUUUUUGUGUGUGUAUUACGUCUGUGAUCUUUGCUGUCUAUUUUGUUGUUUCUUCAGUUUGUAACCUUCCUUCUGCAUAGCAAUGUACAAAGGCAGUAUACAAAUUAAACGCGAAAUGAAAUAUGGAAAUGAAGCGGGGUUACUGCCCAAAAACUAUCGCAUAAGGAAAUGCACCAAAAAGCUUCCCUUUCUUACAAUACAUUCUCAUUUUCUGAUAUCUCCCAUAUGAGUGCAUUUCUCGACAUGUAAUAGAAUAUGUCUGUAAGCAAAGCCAAAGCCAUUCCUUUUCUCCUCCCCAGAUGCAGAGCGUUGCACCAAAUGUCCAGAAGAACAAUAUCCAAACAAGGACCGAGAUCACUGCAUUCCGAGGAUUAUCUCCUUCUUAUCAUAUAAACAAUAUUUGGGGAUUCUCCUGACUUCUUUGGCUCUCUUCCUGUCCUUAACCACAGGCUUUGUUGUAGGGAUCUUCAUUAAAUACAAGGAAACUCCCAUAGUCAAAGCCAACAACAGGGACCUCUCCUUCAUCCUCCUUGUCUCCCUCCUGCUGUCCUUCUUGUCCUCCUUCCUCUUCAUUGGCCGUCCCAGGAAAGUCACCUGCCUCCUUCGACAAACGGCCUUCAGCACCAUCUUCUCAGUUGCUGUAUCCUCUUUGCUGUCCAAAACCAUCAUGGUGGUGCUGGCCUUCCUGGCCACAAAGCCAGGGAACAGGGUGAGGAGAUGGUUAGGGAAAAGUCUGGCC